rnacentral:rRNA from 1 species
CAGCAGCCGCGGGAAUACGAGGGGGGCAAGCGUUGUUCGGAAUUAUUGGGCGUAAAGGGUGCGUAGGCGGUUUGACAAGUCUUGUGUGAAAUCUCUGGGCUCAACCCAGAGUCUGCGCGGGAAACUGUCGGGCUAGAGGAUGGAGAGGUGAGUGGAAUUUCCGGUGUAGCGGUGAAAUGCGUAGAUAUCGGAAGGAACACCUGUGGCGAAAGCGGCUCACUGGACCAUUUCUGACGCUGAUGCACGAAAGCUAGGGGAGCAAACAGGAUUAGAUACCCCCGUAGUCCCUGUCUCUUAUACA